rnacentral:rRNA from 1 species
UACGGAGGGUGCGAGCGUUGUCCGGAAUCAUUGGGCGUAAAGGGCGCGUAGGCGGCCUGACAAGUGGAAGGUGAAAUCCCUCGGCUUAACCGAGGAACUGCCCUCCAAACUGUUGGCUUGAGACCGGGAGAGGUGAGUGGAAUUCCCAGUGUAGCGGUGAAAUGCGUAGAUAUUGGGAGGAACACCAGUGGCGAAGGCGGCUCACUGGACCGGUACUGACGCUGAGGCGCGAAAGCGUGGGAGCAACGGG